AUGAACUCAGUGACAGAGAGUGGAUUGAACUCAGUUACAGAGAGUGUAUUGAACUCGGUGACAGAAAGACGAUUGAACUCAGUAAGAGAGAGAGGAUUCUUCAGUUUGGUGGAUGAACCUAUGGUGACAGGAUCGAUCGACUCCCUGCUCGCUAAGCUCAACUUCACCACCAAACUGAACAAGAGGCGUGCCAAAGUAAUGAAAGAACUAUAUCAAGAUGUGUUGAAACUAAAGAAAGGUUUCGACAAUCUUGGCGGGGGCCGGGUGAUGGAUCCAUGUGCCCUAUUGUGGAUGCAGUUUGCUAGAGAUCUGGUCUUUGACAUUGAAGAGUGGGUUGAUGCGAAGCCGGGUUCCGCAAAUUCAUCAAAGAGAGAGUUAAUUGAUCUGUUCAAGCACCGGAUCCAUAAUGUGUUUGAGGAGUUCACGUGGUGCGACCUUCUCCGUCCUACCGAAGAUCAGUUCAAGCUUAUCCAUGAUUUGCAUAAAGAUUUGGAGAGCCUUAAGAAAGAUCUCCCCUAUAAGUUUGGCCCACCGGUGACUCCUGAGCAGUCAGUGUGGAUGGAUCAAACAUGUGAGCUGGUCAGCAAGGUGGAAACUUUGGUCCAUCAAAAGCCAAUAAAGGACAUGGAUGAAUCAUGCGAAAAACUAAUACAAGAGUACAAGGCCAAAAUACAACAAACGCGUGAUAUACUCAGUACAGCCCCCAUUUGCUGUCCACUGCUUUCUGAGGAGAAAACCCACAACCGCAUUGCUCUCAAAGGACCAAGUAGUAAGCUUCUCAUGCAUCUGACUUCCUUGCAGGCGAGGCUAAAGCUGGUGUCUGUCAUCGGAAUGGAAGGCCUUGGUAAGACUACUCUUGCCAAGGAGGUAUAUGCAAAGCUUCAAAGCAAGUUCAAGUGCCGAGCUUUCGUUACUGUUGGCAAAAACGCGUAUCUAACGGCCACUCUAGUUGAUAUACUUCAUCAAGUAAAGCCACAGGGUACUAUUCCUUGCAAUGGCCCGGGAGCUCCUGAAAUUAACCAAGUCGUAACCGAGCUCGGGAAAUACCUCAUCACAAAGAGCUAUUUCAUCUUAAUUGAUGACAUUUGGAGCAUCCGGGUAUGGGAUAUUCUUAAUUGUGCUUUGCCUGAGAAUGAUCUUGGAAGUAGAGUAUUGAUCACAACUUGCAUCAGCGAUGUUGCCAAAUGUUGUUCUAUGCGCCCUGUUGAUGCCAUCCACCAGAUGGAGCCUCUUAGCGAGGAAGACUCAAAGACAUUAUUUCACGAGGAGGCAAAAAGGCCAGCUGCAAAUGAGUUGUUGAAAGUGUGUGGUGGCAUGCCAUUGGCAAUAAUUGUUGUAGCCGGCAGGAAAUCUGCAGGACUAGCUGAGUCAGAGAUCGGUGAGCGAUGUAUCCUUUCGACAUCAGAUCAAUAUUCCACAUCAGAUAGGAUGAGAAUGAUAUUGCAAAUGAGCUAUGAUGAACUGCCUGCUCCCUUGAAGUCUUGUCUUCUAUACCUUUGUGUUUUUCCAGAAUAUUAUACCAUCAAGAAAGAGCGUUUGAUACGGCUGUGGAUCGCUGAGGGAUUUAUCUUAGGAAGAUGUGAAGAAAGCUUGUUGAGGAAAGGAGAAAGCUAUUUCAACGAGCUCAUCGGUAGGGGGCUGAUUCAGCCAGUGUUUGGCUACGAAGAUGGCCAGGCUGUGGCGUGUACGGUGCAUGGUGUGAUCCUUGAGUUCAUCAAAUCUUUGUCUAGGAAAUACAAGUUUGCUACAACGGGUGCAGACUUGAGGUAUGGAGUAUGUCCUUGGUACCCAAUUCGCCAUUUCUCAGUCGAUUACUGCAGUACGCAAGAUGAAGCGAACACAUUGGACUUAAGAACCCUGCACCUUUCUAGCAUGCGGACCCUCCAAGUCUUUGGGCCUGUUGGAUGGACAACUCUCCGCACAGGUUCUAAGGUUAUGAAAGGGAAGGCUAUUCCGGGGGAUACUGAGGGGAUCCCUCUUCUGUCAACCUUCAAAAAUUUACGGGUACUCGAUCUGGAAGAUAAUGAAAAUUUGAGAAGCCACCAUCUGAAAGGCAUUGGGGGGGGGGUGGUUCUGCUAAGGUACCUGGGGCUUAGAGGGUCUGCUAUCCAUGCAUUACCAGACGAAAUAGGAAAGCUGGAGCACUUGUAG
rnacentral:rRNA from 1 species